GUUUAUGAACCCGAUCUCCCUCUCAAAUUCAAAAUUCAUCGCUUCUUCGAGUUCAAACGCAGAUGAGCAUAUCCGGUUCUUUAUUUGGUUUGGCAACACGUGACUCUCAUCACCCAAGAUUCCAAUUCCUCCAUGUUUGUGCGAAUCUGAGUGUAGUUAAAUGGCACGAAGAUAUACAGAGCGCAUGCUAGAGGAAAGCACUGUGUGUGUGUGUGUGUGUGUGUGUGUGUGUGUGUGUGUGUGUGAGAGAGAGAGAGAGAGAGAGAGAGAGAGAGAGAGAGAGAGAUACAUGCAGACAAGAUAGAACUCAAUAACAUAGAUUUAUUUCAAGAAUUGUUCAACAGACAACUCUUUAGCAAUGGAAAAAAACUACAAAUAACAAGGAAGGUUCUCAAAAUGAUUUUUUUUAGCUAUACUAAUUUAUGACUAUGCAGUAACAGUCUGAUUCCGUCCUCAUGCCUUCAGUAUAAAUCAUUACAUUGUUAAUAUGUACAAGGAUAACAUAAAAUUACUGUUCUGCCUAGAUUACAAUAACAUGAACACAACGUCUUUUUUUAAUAACAGGUAAAUACUAAAAAAAAAAAUACAUUUUUUAUCGAUAUAAAUACAUAAUGUGUGGGAUAAAUAAUACAAAAAAAAAGAAAAUAUUUUAAAACUGGCUAUAACGAAUAAAUAUAUAUUUAUGGAUGCUCACUAGAACACACGUACUGAAAGACGCCCACGAUUGGUGCUGAUUGGACGUCUUUCGUAUGAAAGAUUACUUGUUUCACCCAUUUAAAAUGUAAACUCUAAGUGCAACAAAAUAUGCCCCAGACCAGAACGCAUUAGCAAAUACCAAAAUGUCUUCGCUUCUGCUUAAUUUCCAGGACAUAGAAUUUGUUCAAAUAUACCCUGUUUUCACGUCAAGUCAAGAGAACAUAAAAAAUGUGGGCUGUUAGCAUUAGCGUUGCCUAAUGCAAGUGAACCCUAAAAAUUGUUUGAGAAAGAACAAACUCCACACUAUAUAGAAAGAGGCAAUGCAGGAGACCGUGUUCUUUGCCCACAAGUCUAACACACGGAGCUGAAGACUUUGAAUGUAAACUUAUAAAUAAUAAGUCCCCUUUUUAAAAAAAGAAAACAACAAAAAAGGGAGUUAAGUUGCUAAACUUGGAUAUUAAACCUAUUGGAGAAACGGGGCGACGAUUCCGUAACGACAAGCAACUUUUGUCAGGUACGUAAUUAGUAAAAAAAAAAAAAAUAAAUAAAUAAAAAUGAAAUAAAAGUAUCGUGGCAA